GAACCCCUAGGUACAGUUAUCAUAUGAUUCAGUCCUUCUAUCGUGAGUCCCAACUUGAUGGAGGUCAUGAAGAACUCAUCAAAUCUCAUCGUCAGUCAUAUGCCAAAUUGGCUCGACUCGAGUUCACUUGUGAAUCUCUUAAAAUUUUUUUUCAAUAUUCACAUUUGCUUUGGCCAAAGAUUUUCUGAACUCACCUGCAAAUUGCAUUGAACUUCUUCUUUUCUACUAAGAUCAAUAGAUUCCAUCUAGGUGCAUCCUACUCGUAAUAGUGAACUUGAACCUACUGAAGCCAAUAUACAUAGCUAAGAUCCGAAUAGCUAAGGACCAAUGGAACGUACAGUCAAACUCAGUAGCCUCACUAUGAAUAGUCGAUGACACCUCAGGUCAAAGAAUCACUCGCACCACUGCAGCAUCGAGACAACCACUGAUGAGCGAGUGACAUCCAAGUAUUUUUUUAUGUUGAUCACGCUCAGUGUAAGUUAUUUUUUAACAACCAUCUGUACUCUCAUCUCAGUAUCCCUACACUGCAGAUCUAAGACUCAUCUGUCCAGAAGGAUGAUGAUCCAUGCACCGAUCUUAAAUGAAUUGAUCACUGUCCCUUGUGACCAUCCUUUGUUCAGAAGCAUUUAAAAACUAAUCACUAAUAAUAUAUGUCUUAAAUUUUCAACACCUUAAGAAUGUAUAAAAAUCAUCUUUGUUAAUUUCUAGGAUAAAUCAUGGAUACAUAAACAUGAUUGGAAUAAAAAUAUCAUUUAUUGAUAAUAAAAGUGUUACAAGUAUAAAGUUAAGCGUUCGAAUUAUAAAAUGUAUCAGCCAAUA
rnacentral:lncRNA from 1 species